CAGUCGCCGCGGGAAUACAGAGGGUGCGAGCGUUAAUCGGAUUUACUGGGCGUAAAGCGUGCGUAGGCGGCUUCUUAAGUCGGAUGUGAAAUCCCUGAGCUUAACUUAGGAAUUGCAUUCGAUACUGGGAAGCUAGAGUAUGGGAGAGGAUGGUAGAAUUCCAGGUGUAGCGGUGAAAUGCGUAGAGAUCUGGAGGAAUACCGAUGGCGAAGGCAGCCAUCUGGCCUAAUACUGACGCUGAGGUGCGAAAGCGUGGGGAGCAAACAGGAUUAGAUACCCCGGUAGUCCCUGUCUCUUAUAC
rnacentral:rRNA from 1 species